rnacentral:rRNA from 1 species
GACGAACGCUGGCGGCGUGCUUAACACAUGCAAGUCGAACGGAAAGGCCCUGCUCUUGUGGGGUGCUCGAGUGGCGAACGGGUGAGUAACACGUGAGUAACCUGCCCUUGACUUUGGGAUAACUUCAGGAAACUGGGGCUAAUACCGGAUAGGAGCUCCUGCUGCACGGUGGGGGUUGGAAAGAUUCGGCGGUGGGGGAUGGACUCGCGGCUUAUCAGCUUGUUGGUGGGGUAGUGGCUUACCAAGGCUUUGACGGGUAGCCGGCCUGAGAGGGUGACCGGCCACCUUGGGACUGAGAUACGGCCCAGACUCCUACGGGAGGCAGCGGUGGGGAAUAUUGCACAAUGGGCGGAAGCCUGAUGCAGCAGCGCCGCGUGCGGGAUGACGGCCUUCGGGUUGUAAACCGCUUUCGCCUGUGACGAAGCGUGAGUGACGGUAAUGGGUAAAGAAGCACCGGCUAACUACGUG